AGAGAAGUACCCAAGUGGCUCAAGGGGCGCCCCUGCUAAGGGUGUAGGUCGAGUAAUCGGCGCGAGGGUUCGAAUCCCUUCUUCUCUGCCA
rnacentral:tRNA from 1 species